rnacentral:lncRNA from 1 species
UUCAAACUUUUUGGUCAAGUGGUUUCUCUCAUAAACAAUGCCUCUAUCAUUUUCAAAAUUUUCACACAAAAAUAGAUUGAUGCAUGAUUUAGCAUGAUAAGAAUGAGUUAAAAUAAUGCUCGGUUUCCCGCUUUUUAGUGUACAAUGGAAAGCUUCCUCACAAUUGGUUAAGUCCUAUUUUGAUUCAAAGAUGACAUACAUUUCAAUGAGUUUAUGAUAUGAAAUUUGCACACACCAUCAAACUACUCAUGUUAAGUCUAGAAAGCGACAAAGUGUACCUUGAAAUGCCGACACUAAUUCUUAUCAUCACCAUUCGAAGUGUCCUAUGCUUCUUUCUUUGCGAUCAUUUCUCGGUUGCUUUAAGCUUGACUUAAGAGUAAGAACAAUUAAACA